rnacentral:rRNA from 1 species
UACGUAGGGUGCGAGCGUUUGUCCGGAAUUAUUGGGCGUAAAGGGCUCGUAGGCGGUUUGUCGCGUCGGGAGUGAAAUCCACUGGCUUAACUGGUGGCUCGCUUUCGAUACGGGCAGACUGGAGGUAUGCAGGGGAGAACGGAAUUCCUGGUGUAGCGGUGAAAUGCGCAGAUAUCAGGAGGAACACCGGUGGCGAAGGCGGUUCUCUGGGCAUGUCCUGACGCUGAGGAGCGAAAGUGUGGGGAGCGAACAGG